rnacentral:lncRNA from 1 species
AGAAGGACCUGUACUAAGCCUUGGACAUUGGACCUUGCUGCCUGACCUCUCCCUGCUGGCCGAAAUGACCAAAGGCGGCGUGCCAGCUGAGGGUGUGCAACUACACCCUGCGGGCUCAGGGGGCGCGGGGGCUGUACCCGUGGGCAGCUGAGGGCAUGUGUGGGUGACAUCUGUUCCAGUUGAACAAAAGCACCACAAGCCAGUGAGCCCAGAGCUCUUCUCCAUUAGCUUUGCCAUCGCAUCGGACUUGCAGCUUCGCCUUGGGCCACUUCCAGCCAUGAAGCUCCUUUUGCUGACUCUGGCUGCACUGCUGCUGUUGUCCCACCUCACUCCAGGCUCUUCUCUUGGCCAAAAUGAACUCUUUUUAUCACCAGUCAAAUCUUUGGGAGAGAAACCAAAAUUACAGAGGUGGCACCCGAAAAUGCUGGAAUCUUCAUGGCAAAUGCCGCCACAAAUGCUCCAGGAAGGAAAGGAUCUAUGUUUACUGCACAAAUAGUAAAAUGUGCUGUGUGAAGCCCAAGUACCAGCCAAAAGAUGACCCACGGUUCUUCGGGUUCCUUGGACCCUAAAGCCAUGAAAAUGCAGAUGAAGCUACCCUGGGUCUCACCUAGGUGGAUGCCUGAGCUCUAUCAAUAAACACCUUUGGCUGAUCCCUGUGUUUGCCUGUUAGUCUCCCCCAGCAAUUCUCAGGAGGUCCAUGAAGUCAAAAUUAUUUUCAUAAUAACAAUAAGACAUUAUUUCUCUUUUUCAAUCUCACUUUCUCACAAGUAUGCGGUAGAAUUUUCUGGAAUCUACAUGAUAUAUGGUGAUAUUGUUUUGACAGCCAAUGAAAGGUAUACUUACGUAUCUUUAUGUUUCUAGAAUUUUUUAAGAUGGAGGCUUAAGGUAUAAGUGUGUUCAUUUUCAGAGAUUAACUCAGGUUGUUCUCAGUAACUCUACUGUGCUCUUACUAACUGUCUUUAGUUGUAGUAUUAAUCUCUGUAACCUCAUUAUCAUCUAAUAAAUCAUUACUUUGAAAUUCCAGAUUUUCCUCAUACCUAUAUGGAAACACAACAAGAACUAAGGGCACGUUGUUGUCUUGGUCUGCAGAGGUAUGUUAACAACCAGUACCAACUGGCUAACAGAGGAAAGAAUAUGCUCUCCCUGAAUGAAAAUAAUACCUGUUCUAGUCUCUACAGUUCUUUUAAAUACUAUUUCUGGCACAUAAUUAAAAAAAAAUUAGGGGCUGGCCCCGUGGCCGCGUGGUUAAGUUUGAGCACUCCACUUCAGUGGCCCAGGGUUUCACCGGUUCGGAUCCUGGAUGCAGACAUGGCACCGCUCAUCAGGCCAUGUUGAGGCAGCAUCCCACAUGCCACAACUAGAAGGACCCACAACUAAAACUACACAACUAUGUACUGGGGGGCUCUGGGGAGAAAAAGGACAAAUAAAAUCUUUAAAAAAAAAUUUUUUUAAUUAAAAGACAUGCACAGAAAAAGGAAAAUUUGACUCAUAAUCAAGUAUAAAAACAGUCAAUAGAAGCAGACCUAAAGAUGGCACAGUUGUUGGAAUUAAUAGACAACUUUAAAAUAACUAUUAUAAAUGUUAAAGAAAUUAGAAGAAAAGAUUGAAAGGAUGAAUAAUUUAAACUAAUACACAGAAAAAUAGUGUAUCAGUUUUCUAUUGCUGCACUAUAAACCACUCCAAAACUUAGUGGAUUAAAAUAAGAACUAGAGUUCUGUGUGCUAACUGAGUGGUUCUUCUGAUAUUCUCACCUGGGGUCACUCAUAUGACUACAGCUCUUUCCGCAUAGCCUCUCCAUUUCGAGGAAGUUAACCUUGGCUUCUUAAAUGAUGGUAGGUCUAAGAGGCUAAGCCCCAAUAUGCAGCAUUUAUCAAACUUGUUAUUGUGUUUUCUCAAGCCCCAUUGGCCAAAGCAAGUCACAUGACCCAGGGUCAAUAUGGAAAAGGACUACACAAGGGCAUGAAUACUGAAGGCGUGAUUCACUGGGGAUCAUCAAUGUAUCAGUCUACCACAAGUGGAACCUCUAAGAAUAAAUUGGCCAUUCAAAAUUGAAAAAUACAAAAUCUAAAAUUAAAAACUUAUUGGAUGGGCUUAACAAUAGACUGAGCAUAGUAGAAGAAAGGAUUAGCAAAUUCAAAGAUAGAUCAGUAGGAAAUACAAUCAAAGCACAGAGAGAACGAAAAAGAAUGCAGAACAAACAUAACAGAGCAUGAGAGACAUAUGGGACAAUAUCAAAUGGUCUAAAACAUAUGUAAUUGGAAUCUCAGAAGGAGAAGAGAGAGGGAAUGGAAAAAACAAAAUAUCUUUAAAAGAUAAUGGCU